rnacentral:rRNA from 1 species
AUACGAAGGGGGCUAGCGUUGUUCGGAAUUACUGGGCGUAAAGCGCGCGUAGGCGGACUGAUCAGUUGGGGGUGAAAUCCCAGGGCUUAACCCUGGAACUGCCUCCAAUACUGUCAGUCUUGAGUUCGGGAGAGGUGAGUGGAAUUCCUAGUGUAGAGGCGAAAUUCGUAGAUAUUAGGAAGAACACCAGUGGCGAAGGCGGCUCACUGGCCCGAUACUGACGCUGAGGCGCGAAAGCGUGGGGAGCAAACAGGAUUAGAAACCCUAGUAGUCC